GUCGACUUGUGUCGACUGUGUCUUCUAAAAGGAAAGCAGCCUGUGUUACACAGUAUCGUCUGUGUACGUAGCUGAAAAGCGCCUAAGAUAGGAUAGGUUAGAACAGUGUAUCAGAUAUUUACAAACAGCAGUGAACAAACGUGAGGUAAGUUAAAUAUAUCAUAUAAAUUGAAUGAAUGAAUGAAUAAAUUAUAUAGCUUAUAAAAUGAUCAAACAAUUGUAAAUUGUGUCAAUUUUUUAUUUGUGUACUAUAUAUUUGUUUUUAUUUGCAUACACAAUGCCAUUGUGCUGUGAUAAAAAUUGUAAAAGUCGAACAUUUUAUACGGAUACAAAAGGAAUAACAUUUUUUAGGUUUCAUAAUGAGGACAGUAUUCGUAAGUUAUAGAUAAAUGCUUCUGAAAGAAGUGAAGGAAGUAUUAAAAUUGAUUCUAAGUUAAUAUAAUAGACAUAUUUUAUAUAGCAAAAGUUGUCAAUAUAACUUACAAUAUAAUGUAUUGUUUAUAAUAUGAUCUCAUUAUAAAAAUAAUAGAAUUGUAUAGAAUGAAUUAUAGUUUUAGCAAGAAUAUGCAAUCUUGAUUUUGAUGAUUGCUUUAUAACGCAAUGGACACAACAAAAACACUCAACAAAAACAGCAAAACAACUGCAUGAUUGAAAGCAGGUUCUAUUUUUACGAAAAUGUUAAAUUUAGCGAAAAAAAGAAAAGGAAAAUCUUCAACAGUGAGACAAUCACAAACAAAAAAACUAAAAUACUAGAAAAGUUGGUAAACUCGCGCUUAUCCCAUAGUCUUUGAGCAGAUAAUGAUUGAUUAGAGUUUUAUGACAGCAGUUUUGCGACUGAGAAAGUCAUACGGCAAUCACCAUUUCAAAUAUACAGUGGUCAAUAAACAGCAAUGAAUAACGUUUUACAUCCUGCUGAUUUGUCCAACAUAAGAUACGUCACAAUCUCGACAACUUAUUUUGUAAACCACGAAAGGACGGGAAAAGAGAAGCAGAGGAUCUUUGAGAACUGUAAUAAAUUGUCUUAUAGCGAUUUUGGCUGGUUUGCACCGACUGCACAUUUCGGGUGUCGGUGCAAAUUGUGUGUUCGGCUGGUCGAAUGGCAGCAGUUCUUUGCUGGUUCCACGUAUUCGUCUGAGCUCAG